rnacentral:rRNA from 1 species
CCUACGGGAGGCAGCAGUGGGGAAUUUUGGACAAUGGGCGCAAGCCUGAUCCAGCAAUGCCGCGUGAGUGAAGAAGGCCUUCGGGUUGUAAAGCUCUUUUGUCAGGGAAGAAACGGCCGAGGCUAAUACCUUUGGCUAAUGACGGUACCUGAAGAAUAAGCACCGGCUAACUACGUGCCAGCAGCCGCGGUAAUACGUAGGGUGCAAGCGUUAAUCGGAAUUACUGGGCGUAAAGCGUGCGCAGGCGGUUUUGUAAGUCUGACGUGAAAUCCCCGGGCUCAACCUGGGAAUUGCGUUGGAGACUGCAGGGCUGGAGUCUGGCAGAGGGGGGUAGAAUUCCACGUGUAGCAGUGAAAUGCGUAGAGAUGUGGAGGAACACCGAUGGCGAAGGCAGCCCCCUGGGUCAAGACUGACGCUCAUGCACGAAAGCGUGGGGAGCAAACAGGAUUAGAUACCCUGGUAGUCCACGCCCUAAACGACUGUCUACUAGUUGUCGGGUCUUAAUUGACUUGGUAACGCAGCUAACGCGUGAAGUAGACCGCCUGGGGAGUACGGUCGCAAGAUUAAAACUUAAGGAAUUGACGG